rnacentral:lncRNA from 1 species
UCAACGAGGUCAAAAUUGUAGAAUUUAUAAAUUUUAGUGCAAAUUACUAAUUUUUUGUUGAGUCAAAAUUAUUAGAACUUAUGUUCAUUGGGGUCAAAAUUAUAGAAUUUAUAAAUUUUAGGACAAAUUAUUAUUUUUUUAUGGGGACAAAAUUAUAUUUAUAAUAAAUUAUAUUAAGGAUAGUAGUAUAAUUUUUUUCAGUAAAGUCAAUUGACUUCACUUACCCUAGUGUGGCUCCGUCCAUAAUUAUAAGGGUAAAUUUCAUUAACCACCACUAAUGUUUCUGAUAAAUAUAGUCAAUUCCUCUGUAGUUUUAAAAAUAAUACUGACAUCCUUUACUUUUGAAACUAAUGUUAAGAGUCCUCACUUGAGCUAAAUUUUGUGCAAAACUGAUAAGAUUGCCAUUUGAUUUAGGACUUUCAAUUUUUUUCUUAAUACACUCAUUAAAAUUAAUAAAUAUUUUUUUUCCUCAAAAUAUCAUUUAUUUGAAAACUAUCAUAUUUUUUAUUUUUUAUCAAUAAGUAAAUUUUUAAAAAUAUAAUUGAUCUGAACAAUUUACUUUUUAAGUACUAAUGAAAAUAUACUUAAAAAAUAAUACUUUUAUUAUUAUUAUUUUUUCAAAAAAGUUAAUCUAAAUAUUUUACUUUUUAAGUACUCCUAAUAUAAAAAUACUAAAAAAUUAAUUUUGUAAUCAAGUUUUUUUUUUUAAAAAAAAGAGAACAUUUAAUUUUUUUUAUUUGGUGUAUUGAGGAAAAAAAAAUUAAAGUUCUAAAUUAAAGGCAAUCUUGUCAUUUCUAAACAAAAAAUAAUUUUAGGGGAGAAUCUUGAUAUUAGUUUCAAAAAUAUAUAAUGUCAGUAUUAUUUUUGAAACUCUAAGGAAGUUGGCUAUAUUUUUUAGAAAUCUGUGAAAUUUACCCUAAUUAUAAAUAAGUAAAAUUAAAUUAAAUGGAUAAAUUUCAUUGACCUCUCUUAAGAUUUAAAAAAAAUAUAAUCACAUCCUCUAUAGUUGCAAAAAUAGCACUGAUCUCCCUUACUUUUGAAACUAAUAUUAAGAUUCUCUUUUUAGCUAAUUUAUGUGCAAAAUAAUAAAGUUGCCAUUUGAUUUAUGGCUUUCGAAUUUUUUUCUCAAACACUCAUUAAAAUAAAUAAAUAUUAUUUAAAAUGCUAUUUAUUUGCAUACUACUUUAUUUUUUAUUUUUUUAAAAAAUAAUUAAUCUAAAUAAUUUAAUUUUUAAGUACUCCUAAUGAAAAUCUACUUAAGAAGUAAAAUUUUGUCAACAAUAAUUUUUUUUUAAAAAAGUAAUUGAUUCCAAUAUUUUACUUUUAAGUGUUACUAAUCUAAACAUACUAAAAAUUUAACUUUGUUAUUAAUUUUUUUUUAAAGUGAGAAUAUUUAAUUAUUUUAAUUAGUGUAUUGAGAGAAAAAAAUUGUAAGUCCUAAAUGAAAAGGUAAUAUUAUCAAUUUUGCACAAAAAUUAGCUCUAGAAAAGAAUCCAGACAUUAGUUUUAAAAGUAAUGGAGGUUAGUGUUAUUUUUUAAAUUAUAGGAGAGAUGAGGUAAGUGAAACAAACCCAAAUUAAAUCCACGUGGAAUCAAAUUAUGGUUAAAUCAAAGUAGGCCAAGCUUAAUUAUGAGAUUUAGGCUUUCGUUAUGAAUCCAUAUGGCUUUACUCAUAAAGUGUGUAUAGUUCACGCUGUAACCGAGUAUAUAACACUAACAUAAUUUUGGUACAGCAGUUAAUUAGCCGUUUGUUCUGACUUUUUGUACUAGACCUCUGGUAGAUCAUAGAUGUCCCAGUUUAGGAAAGUGAGACCAGAAUGAAAUCCAUAUUUCGCCUCUGAAUCCAACUUUAUGGAAUUGCAGGGUUUUUGAAAAUAUAUUUAAAAACAUCAAAAUAGUAAUUUCGCAUAAUUAAUUUUGCAAUUUUACAUCUUUAGAGAAAUCUUUUUGCUGAUAAUUAGAGACAGAAGUUCUAUCAAAUAAAAUAACACAAAUUUCAAAGUGUUAGAAUAUAAAAUCUACUUUUUAAGUAGUUUUGACAAGCACACUUAAUGAUCGACCUAACAUUACUCAAUAACAAUAAUAAUCACUUCAUAUUUGCAUCUGUAAACCAAUGUCGUGAGUGGUGUCUCAAAAGCUGGCCGCUAGGUUGACCCAUUUGGUAUUAUUGGAUGUUUUUCAACCUCAUUUGUGUUAUAUGGUUUUUAUAUAUAUGUAGGUUCUUAAGUUUAUGGGAAUUUCUAGCUCAUUACAUUCUUAGUUUUUUGAUAGUUCAUUAUCGUCGCCUAUCCCAAUUGACUCCGUAAAAAACUAUUAUGAAAGCCUGAAGUUAACGACCGGACAAAUCUUGGUAGUCACAUUCUCUAAAAUGCUAGCCCACCUAAUAUAUUUUUUUCAUGUCCUCUAGAUCCUUUUUUUUCAUAUCCUUUAUAUUAGACGGAUCGAAAUUGAUCCUUUCAAAUAAAGGAAGUUUUAGAGGAUGAGUUAUGGAAAACAAACUCAAAUCAAAUAAUUAAUUUGGAAAUUGCAAGUUGUUUUGUUCUUUUAAUCGAAAACAAGAAAUGAACUCAUUGACUUCAAGCCUCAAGGACCUUCACUAACCUUCUGAAAAAAUGGCAACCUUUCCCCAGAGAAGAGACCAUAAUAAUGCCCCGUUUGGGCUAAAUUUAUUGUAGUGUUUGGCAUAUUUAUAGUAGUUUUUAUAUACAUAAGCUGUUUGGGCCACGUUUUACUAGUUGUUCGAUUGAGUUCUUUUAGCAAAAACCAAGACAAUUGUUUACCAAAACUACAUGUUUAUUUAACCUCCUCAAACAACUCAAAUAGUUUUUUUAUCUCAUUUUUCACUUUUAAUCCAGAAGUAAAAAAAACUAUUUUUUCCAACUAGCCCAAAAGGGGCCUAAAAUAUGUACUUACCCCGAGAGAACUAAAAUUCUCAUCUAGAAGAUGAAUACUCUGUCUUCUCACCUGAUUUAUUUUCAUCACUAUAUAGAGCAUAUGAUCGAUUUCAUCACAAUCAAAGAAAUAUGGAUAUUUUGGACAUAAAAUGUAUAUAAUUAAAGCACAUGAACAACAUAUGAUCGAUUUCAUCACAAUUUCAAACGAAUUAAUUAGUAAUGAAAGGGGUGUAUUGAUACAAUUAAAUAGUUAUGGAAAUCUUUUAAAUGGGGGAUGAAAGUGACAAAAUCAAUAGGUUGGGAGUAUCGAUAAAUUAAACCGUACAAAAUUGGUUGCUUCCUCAAAAAAUGUUAUGUAAAAUACACCUUUGUUUUUCUUCUCAUUAGAUUAUGAUCUAUUCUAUACAAUGCCUGUUGUUAUAUUCCUCUUUCCGCAGUCGUAUGAUCUCGACACUUGUUUUUUCUUGUCUUAUGGGCACAUCAGUGUGGCUAUAACAAUUUGUCAUGAGUAAAUGCUAUUGCAAGCCAUUUUUCAGAUAGCAUUCUUUUUCACCAUGUUUUGAUACCAAAUAGGGUCAUAUAGCAUUGAUAAGAACAAUUAUGGACCUCGCUUUUGUACGCCUCACCAGUUUGUAAAUUUAAGUACUACAAAGCUAUGAUUAUUUUGAUAUAACAAGUGAUCUGGAAAAUAAGAGACAAUACAAUCUGCAGUUGGGGUGGGUAUCGUUGAGGAUAAAAUUUAUUUUUUUUUUUUUUUUUUGAAUUAUUUUUGUCUUUUGAGUGAAUUUUUUUCUUCUAUUUGUUUAAGUUUUUGGUGGGAAUUAUGUCAGAAGAGAGAGAAGGCUAUUUCAGAACUACACAACAAAAACUCAUCUUUACAAAUAACCUUAUACAAAAUCAUAUCAUGUUCCUAGUUUACAAUACAAUCAUCUGAUUAAAUGCAAUCUGUAACGGCCAAUACAAAUUGUUCGAUGAAAAGAACUCCACGAAUGAAACGACGACUUCACAAUAAUUUCUAGGCAAAAGAAGAAAAAAUGAACACAAUUUGUGGAAGACGGAUUCAGAUUAUUCUGUUUUUACCUUCAUGGCGUUGAUUUUUUCUAAGAUCGCCACGACUUCUUCCAUGGAGGGACGCCUUUUGUGUUUCUUAUUAAGGCAUUGUAGGGUAAGUUUAGCAACCGAUGUUGCCGCCUCAGAAGAAUACUGUCCUUCAAUUCGUGCGUCCAUGACUAGUUUCAGCUUUUUUUUGUUGAGAAGGGGCUUUGCCCAGUUCAUCAGUUCCCUGUUCUGUCUGCGUUUGUGUAUCAGUACCCGUAAACCCGACUCAUCUCAGCAGCAGAACACCUAAACUGUACACAUCGCUCUUUACUGAUAAAUUCCUGUUGCAACAUGAUGCAUUGGAUAGAGAACUAAACUCGUUGAAAAACGCGAUUCAGAAAAAAAAAAUCUUACAAACAUAAUGUGUGGUGCAAGGAUGACGCAUUGAAAUCCAAAUGGGACCUACCAAAAUUGAACGAUAGGAUAAACUCAAUUGUCAUAUCAAUUGCAAACAUCAUACAUCAUUUUUACUGCAAUGGAUGGAUUUGUCAUGAAUUUUCUUUUCCUUUCCUCUCUGUUUUUUGUUUUCAUCAUAGCCUCAAUUAAAUCAAUAUAAGCAGGAAUCCUUCCCUCUAUCAAGCCUUAAAUAUCACUAAUAUGAUACGUAUUGUCAGUUAUGUAUCGAGAUUUUUGCCAUUGAUACUAAUGUCUUCGUAAAUCUAGGCCGAUACAUGGUUGUAUCACUGAAACCAAUACUGUUACUGAUACCUUGUUAUAAAUCCCGCCUCUAACGCACUUGUUAAGAAAGUUUGAGUGAGAAAUAUUUCCAUUGAUAAUUCUCUAACUUAUUUAGUAAGCAGGGUUCUUUUAUUGUUUUUAAGUUAUUUUCAAGCCACAUCACUAUGGGCCAUAAGAGAAAACUAUUCACUGUUUUCCAAUAUAUCUGGAGCACAUCAUAACGAAUGUUCCAAUAACUCGUGUCGUCACAUGUGUGUUCUCCACCGGAAGGCCGCCAACUUUGCUUGUUCCAAAUUCCGAGAUUUUGGCAUUGUAGUUCUGUGAAGCAGCAAAAUGGGGCAUAUCAGUUUUGCACGAAUGUUUCAGAUACGGAUGGAUUUUGGCGCUCCUUAAGGGCUUCAGAUAAUCUCAAAUCACAAUUAAUUAAACUUAUGAAGUGUGAUCAUGUAAGAACGCCCUCAUCAAGACAGUAUAUUAGAUGCUUUAAAGUCCCUGGGUAAAUGCAUUGGUUCCUCUCAACGUGUGCAAGAAGUAGCACUUUGCUGAUUCAAUGGCUAUUUUGAGCCGUAAGGUCCCAAGAGUCAGUGGCAGAACCCCCCGUGGCAAACCAAAAGAAAGAAAAAAAAUCAUCAAUCAAAUAUAACCAUACAUAGCAAGUUUUCUUUGUUAUAUGUUUUUUUUCUUAUUAUGCUACCGAUCUACGCGCCCAGUUCAUCUUACGUAGAAAAGAAGGGUUUCCAAGCUUCCCCCCUCCAUAAUUCGUACACAGUAGCAGCUCUUGAUAUCCUCCAAACAGUAAACCCAACAGCUUAACCAAGUUAGGAUGAGAAAGGCGUCCCAAGAAUCCACUUCCUCCGUCCGCCUGCAUUUCCAAAUAAGAAAGAAACCGACCAAUGACAUUAGACUUAGAAACAAAAGAAGGUAUAAAUCUACAUUUGGAAGAUCAAAAACAUUUCCUUACCUCAGAUAAGCGUUGUUUGGGCUGUUUUGAUAUGAUCUAUAUUAUAUCUAUAUUAGAAUCCCACCAGGUUUGAUCACUUUGUCCAAAUAUGAUCUUAACUCACCAACCUAACCUGUGAACUUGGCAAUUGUAGAAGAACCAAGUGAUCAAGUCUAUGUUACCAUUGAAAACAACAUAUUCUACAUUUCGUGAAAAUCCGUCCGAUGGCAUUUCUAGAAAAUACACCGUUUAUUUUUAUUCAAUUGCAUUAAAAGAAGCUCACUAAAUACGUCUAGCGCCGUAGAAUUUAUCACAUAAGAGGCACCCCCAUGUUACAAUUCAAAUACCAAUAACCCUAAUCAAAUCAAAAGAUCCAAUGAUCGAUAAUGCUGUAAAUUGCACUCUCAAGACGUCCUAAUGAUCAUUAAUAAUACUGGACAGCAUCCCCCGGAAUUUGGUAAAAUGGUUUCACAAAACCCAAGUAUUAACUGCAAAAUAAUAGAAAAUUGAUACAAAGAUUUCUUCGCAUUAGAACUGUUGUUCGCGUCAGUUUCUUUGAUCUCAAAGACCAACACUAGGUGAGAAGUAGCACCAACAGAUAUCUUUUUCUUUUAGGAGACAAGUAAAACACCAUCCAAGUUUUUGUCCCCAACAACAUCAUCCCAUCACUUUUUAUCCAUUAUCUACUGCAUGAUUACAUAAAAGCAUAAAACACAGCAAUACUAGUGGCGGCCAAGCAAAUAUUUUGUCACCACAUGUUUGAAUUAAUGGUAGAGACCAAGGUAUAAAACAUCGGCCAAUACGUGGUCGUAUGUAUCGAGAUUCAGCACUUCUGAUGCUCAUAUUUAUCAUAUAUCACCAUCUUGGAGUAUUCCUCUGAUCGGGAAUCUAUUACCCCAUACCGCAUUUUGUCUAAUAACCCUGGUAUAGGGGUGGGGUUUAAGAACCAACACUUCUCACUGUGUUUGCCUUAUCGUUACUAUCUAAUCAUUAUUAUUAUAAUUCUGACAAACCUAGCAUACUUCUAUUUGAGAGUUGAAAAUUAGUAGAUUACCUGCCAUUCUUGAAGGCCCUGCUUACUUUGAGGGUUUAGCUUCUUGAUGGAAUCUUCCUACCGGAAAUUCCGAAACUGUCCCCUUAUACACGUUUCCGAAACCACCCCCCCAAAAAUCAUGGUCCCGGUUGAACCCUUGUAGCGAUCAUCAAAUCCGAAAACUGUAAAACAAUUAUCAAGUUUUGGGUGGCCAAUAUUUCCCAUGCUGCUAACUCCUUCCGAUGUUCCCAAUUCCAUCACCAUUAGGUGUUCCUGAAAAUAUUCCGGAUCUACUAAAGAAAACCAACCAACACUGCCAUGGUCAAACAUUCAAAAUGAAAUCAAUUCGAUCAAAGAAAAAAAAAAGUCGUUCGAACUUAUUCAUUUUGAUCUUUGUUUUAGAUAAUUUAUUUUCUUUGAUGUCCAAUUAUUGGACGUAGGGUUUGUCAAGAAUGAAGAUAUGUUCCUGGGUUUUCACUGAAUUACAAAAAAUCACACAUCAAUAUUUGGCAAGUUAGUUCUGGUGUUUGGAGUAAAAUCAACAGAUGGUUUCAGAACAUUCAAAAAUAGAGAAUCACAUGUUCAUUUAGAACUUAAACAAAUGUGUCACAGACUAAAUCAAAACGAAAUAGAAUCAAUUAAGUCCGAAGAUCGCCAGAAAAAGCAAACACAACUUGUUGGCAGAGGGUUAGGCGUUCUUGAAAAUUUCGGAUAAAAUUACCUAAUUUAUCAGGGUUUCGUCACUCGAUUAUACUAAGAAAAACAAAGAUAAUGCUUUGGGUUUGGGACCUGAUUUUAGAUAAAAUCAGAUUUUCCAUGUUAUCCUGAUGUUUAUAGCAAAAUCCGAAACACGGUAC